GCUGUACAAAUGCGCAUCUAACACUACUAAAAGCCGAAUAAGAAGAGCAACGAGCGUGCCACGUAGGAUUUUUUAUUCAGGCCAAUCAUGAAGCUCUGUUUUGCCACGUCACUUUUAUUUUGUCGACAAAAAAUUUAAAAGGUCCAGUAAAUCUGGGCUGAACAAAAAAAAAUAGACCUAUAUAGAACAGCCCAUAUCUUAUUCUACGCAGAAUGUUCGUCGCCUUCAACUCCGACUCUUCCAAUUCACUAUUCUAAUCUCUGCAAUCUCUCUGUAAUUAUUACACCCCAAUCUUGCUCAUUCAAUUCUGAUAUUUUCUCCUAUCUUCAUUAGAGAUUAUCGUUCCACCUUCCUUUGUUUUUCCUGUUAUAUAAACCCCUUGAUGAUAUGAUAAGACAGGUCCGUUAACUAUUGUCAUUCCAGCCUGAGUUAUCUAAAAUAUGAACCCUCGAUUCCAGAUUCAUAACACAAUGACAAUUUGUUGUUCUCUACAUUUGAAAGUCAGUCGUAGAACUCGGCCUCACGCUGGUGCUGAUCGUCUUCUCCGUCGUCGUUUUAGAAGCUUGGAGAAGGAGACACAGUAACGUUUCUGUCGACACCGUGACAACUACACUCGAGGGUCCUACAUCUUAAAAACAGGUACUGUCUGAAUUCAAUAUAUUUUUUCUGGGAUUUUUCUGUUAGUGUGUUUACAGUUAAUGGAACUGAGAAAAGGUCUUGCCUUUGAAUCCUAUUAGCCUAUAGAACGUUUAAAGACGAGAGCUUUGACAUUAUUAUUAUUAUUAGUAUUUGUAGGAGAGUUUGUCUAACGAUGUGUGUUGUUUAAGAAAUAAAAGAGUAAAACAGACAGAUCGUGGAUGCGCAGUUGUAUGAUAAUAAUUUCAAGAGAGGAGCAAGCAAAAAGCUUCACUUGAGAAGGAAAUUCAUCAUACUGUCGGUAAAAAGAUAAGAAGAAAAGUUGAUGACGAGAUCAACAACAGAUUGAGUUUGGGAACACUUUUCUUCCAGCCUAACUUCCUGGUUACGGUUGAGCAGAUUCUUGAAGAUGCUCCCAAAGUCUUAGAUCUGCGAUUGGCUACUUUAUGAAAUCCAUUGAAGGGACAUGCUGGAUUAUCUAAUGAUGAUAAAGACGAAAACGGAAGGACUCUAGAGGUACAUGAAAUUAUCGAUACCUUUUUGAUGUAUCUUAAUACGGGUCAUGAAUCCUCUGGACACACGCAUUAUUUGGGCUACCUCCUCAGAUACUACAGAAGAUAAAUGUAAAAUAAUAAUAUAUGUUUAUAUAAUCCUUUUCCAUUUAUUUUUACAAGCUUGAAUAGUAAUUUUCCUUA